rnacentral:rRNA from 1 species
UACGUAGGGUGCAAGCGUUUAAUCGGAAUUACUGGGCGUAAAGCGCGCGCAGGCGGUCUUCCAAGUCAGUGGUGAAAGCCCGGAGCUCAACUCCGGAACUGCAGUCGAUACGGGCAGACUAGAGUUCGGCAGGGGAGACUGGACUUCCUGGUGUAGCGGUGAAAUGCGCAGAUAUCAGGAGGAACACCGGUGGCGAAGGCGGGUCUCUGGGCCGACACUGACGCUGAGGAGCGAAAGCGUGGGGAGCGAACAGG